UGCAGUCGAACGGUAACAGGUCUUCGGAUGCUGACGAGUGGCGAACGGGUGAGUAAUACAUCGGAACGUGCCCGAUCGUGGGGGAUAACGGAGCGAAAGCUUUGCUAAUACCGCAUACGAUCUACGGAUGAAAGCAGGGGACCGCAAGGCCUUGCGCGGACGGAGCGGCCGAUGGCAGAUUAGGUAGUUGGUGGGAUAAAAGCUUACCAAGCCGACGAUCUGUAGCUGGUCUGAGAGGACGACCAGCCACACUGGGACUGAGACACGGCCCAGACUCCUACGGGAGGCAGCAGUGGGGAAUUUUGGACAAUGGGCGAAAGCCUGAUCCAGCCAUGCCGCGUGCAGGAUGAAGGCCUUCGGGUUGUAAACUGCUUUUGUACGGAACGAAAAGCCUCGGGAUAAUACCCUGGGGUCAUGACGGUACCGUAAGAAUAAGCACCGGCUAACUACGUGCCAC
rnacentral:rRNA from 1 species